GUGCUGUUAUCUCACUUCAGCAGCACAUAUACUAAAAUUGGAAUGAUACGGAGAAGAUUAGCGUGGCCCCU
rnacentral:snRNA from 1 species